AACGAACGCUGGCGGCAUGCCUAACACAUGCAAGUCGAACGAGACCUUCGGGUCUAGUGGCGCACGGGUGCGUAACGCGUGGGAACCUGCCUUUAGGUUCGGAAUAACUCAGAGAAAUUUGAGCUAAUACCGGAUGAUGUCUUCGGACCAAAGAUUUAUCGCCUUUAGAUGGGCCCGCGUUGGAUUAGCUAGUUGGUGGGGUAAAGGCCUACCAAGGCGACGAUCCAUAGCUGGUCUGAGAGGAUGAUCAGCCACACUGGGACUGAGACACGGCCCAGACUCCUAGGGGAGGCAGCAGUGGGGAAUAUUGGACAAGGGGCGAAAGCCUGAUCCAGCAAUGCCGGGUGAGUGAUGAAGGCCUUAGGGUUGUAAAGCUCUUUUACCCGAGAUGAUAAUGACAGUAUCGGGAGAAUAAGCCCCGGCUAACUCCGU
rnacentral:rRNA from 1 species